GGACUUCUCAGUUUUAUUAAAUUGAACUGAUGUUUAAAUGUUCACCAUUUUUGGCCUACAGAUUAGAAUACUGAGAUCACCAUAUAUGCUGAAGGUCCCGACAGUACAGAGUUACAAACAAAUUCUAAACACCAUAUAUGCUGAAGGUCCCAUCAGUACAGAGUUACAGAACAAAUUAUUUGUCCAAUGACAACGUAAGAGUCACGACCAGCAAUCACAAACAACACUAGCUCGACCGCAGGCAUGUGUGUGCGGCAAGGGGAGGAGAUACUCUGAUGCUAGAUGUGUAGAGACAACAAGCUCAUCAUGCGUAGAAGACGAUAGACGACUCGCGUAGUAGGCCUUGAACUGCUCGCCUGAUGGCUAUGGAUCAUGCAAAAUCCUGACCAAAAGAUCACAUUAUUUUCACCAAACUAAUCUCUUGAACUUGCUCCACGACAAUCUUUGAACCUCCUACAAGAAAAGCCAUUAUUUUAAUGUUCAUACGAAUACCUACAAGCAAUGAUCACAAACAUUUAGCGAACAUUUCUUUUAAAGACUUAUGCAACAAUAAUUAGAACCAUAAAAAUAGGGUGAAACUAUGGUAACUAUAUUACAUAUCAUCUAGAUUCUAGCAAUAACCGUUUUGCAUGAUCAUUGGCAUUUGGAAUAGCAUCCAACAACAAUUAGAGUUCUAUAAGACCGCAUCUGUACUUAUUUUUGAAGAUGUAUUUGUACUGCCCAAAAGCAUAAGCUGAAGCACAAAAUAAACAUUUAAAUACAUUUGUGCUCACAGGAAUAAUCACACACCUAGAGAGCAUGUUCUUUUCACAUCUUCCCAACUACUCAAUUAGCAAAGCAGCACAUCUACACAUUUUAAUAGCAGGAGCAAAGAAAGAGAGAUUGAUAUGAGAGAGUGUCGUUGAAGCACGCUAAGGACUCCCAUCAGCGCUCAACUUGGACGGCUGCCAGCAACCAUGGUGGACGUGCCAGUGGUGGUGCGGCAUGGCCAGAGCAGGCCGCUGGCUGAUAUUCCAACACAUCAUGUUAGCGCACCAAGGAAAUAGCAAGUUUUCCAUAAAAAUGUUAUCCAUACUAGGUAAGACCAAAGCUACAGGACAAUACCUUUUCUUGAGCUAGCUACUACAUGUACUGACUCCUCCACCACUGUAGCAUCCCUGUAUCCUCCUUGCGCGGGCAACCACUAGGGAUCAAGCGAUGCUGCCGCUCGACACAUUUGAACCACCUGUAGGAAUCAAAGUGAACGGAAGGGAUUCAAACACAUCAAUGGACACAUGUACUACACAACAAUGUGCACCUGUACUGUCCAUGACAACAAACUAACAAAAAUUAAAUUUUCGUUCAACUAUUGCAGACUUUUGAGUAGUAGACGCACAACCUGACAAGGCAAUGUACAAGUUCAUGUGAAAAGAACAACCAAGUUAAUGUACAGUAACAUCAUAAGUUCAAAAAUAAAAAUAAAAAGAGUUUUGUACUGUUUUUUGCUAUAACAACUAAGUUAAUGUAUGCCAUGGGGCUGGACUAGGACAGCGUAUAUCCUUGAGUGGUGGAGAGGGAGAUCAUGUCACUACCAAAUCUAUCAGGGUACUAGAAAUUCAUGGAACAUAAGUAAAACCAAACUAAUUGAUUACAAGCACUCCUAUGAACAGAACUUAAAUUAGAAAUUGAGGUGAACUUAAAUAGUGAAAACAAGAGUGUUGCUGCUAGCUUUCCAAUCCUAGAACAACUUCUAGGAACGUGUGGGAAACAUGCAACAUGCCUGAACUUGGUGUGGAUUGGUAGUUGAACUUGCUACCCAUCCACACUAGUACCAGCGGCACAAGACCGAAGUAUUUAAGCAAUACCUGAUGGCAUCAAGAAAACAAGUGACUAAAACAUUUAGCAAUAAAAGCGAUGGUACAGGAAAAUUGAAGUGAUGUUUUUUUGUCAUUCCGACAAACCUCCAACAUGUUUUUUUGAACUGAUUUCUUUCUAUCAUUGUACUGUUGCUUUAGGCUUUUCGAAUGAGGUGAAAGCCUCUGGUCUAUUUGAACAUUUACUGAACAUUCAAAAAUGUUUUGAACUGAUGUGAAUCCUUUCACCGAACUACUAAUACAAAUUUUCAUGAACCUACCCAUUUAUACGAACAAGUUAUAUUUCUGCUAGGCAUUUGCGCACUUUUGUGCUAAGCAAAGAGAGAAAGAAAACAACCUGGAAAUGUUUCCUGCCGCCGCACGUCGACGGGGUGUGGAUAUGGAUGAACUGACUGACCCAUUUUUCUUGUACUGAAGCUUAUUUCCAGAAAUUUAAGACAAUGCAAAUAUUAUCUACAAUAUGGACAUUUAGUAUAGUCUGAACUAAACACGUUGGCACUUUUGAACUGAGGUAAUAGCUGUGAACCUGUGACGAAGAAUAGAACUCAAAAAGAAUUUUUUUGUAGGUGGAAUAAGACGUUGGAGAUCGGGUGGACUGGCUACACCUCCUCCUCUGGACUGAUUGCUCUGGUGAACUGGAGCUGAUGGAGGCGGAGAUCACGAGCACGCCGCGCUUUGGCGACUGCAGGGAAUCCCAGCGACUACCAAGUCAUCCCCGAGAAGCUUGUAGAGGCGGGGCAGUUGGUCACAGGUCAUCCCGUGUAAGUUCAACUACCAGGCGUGGUGGCGGAGAGAGGCUCUUGGCGGUGAUGUCCGGGAGGUGCCUCGCGGCGGUGAGGUGGAUGGCUGCGGGCACGGGCUAGGCGGCGACAGUGAGAGAGUGCCGUUGAUGCACGCAGAGGACUACCAUCAGCGCUCAACUUGGACGGCUGCCAGCAACCGUGGUGGACGGGCUGGUGGUGGUGCCUUAUUUUUUUGUAAAUCAAAGCUCCUACAUUAUGCUAUACUUCCAUGCAGUUCUUCACUCAAACAAUAUUGUAACAACCAACAUAAAAAUAGUUGAUCUGGACUUGAUCCACUAGCACCAACUUACUGGCUGAAUCAAAUUUUGUGAUUUGAAGCAGCAGCAAUAGUCGGACUAAGGGAGACAUGCAUGCGGUUAUAUAGUUGAACUUGCAUGAUCUGCAAAUAAGAGCAUGACUUAUGUACUUACUGGACAAUACCAUGUGAAACAGUAUAAUGCUAUGUGAACCUUUUUGAUGGACGGCUUUUAAUUUUUAUUCUCAGUACUUCUCAAAAAUGAAUAUCUGAACCACCAGACAGGGGUGUGGUAACCAAAAUUCAGAAGAGUAGAAACUCAAUAAGGCACCAUACUAAAAUAAGAAAAUGAACUGAACAGAAAAUAAGAAUUGCACUGAACUAAAAUCAGAAUUCGAACUGAGUGUCACAAAAGAUGAACUUGUGCAUCUGUUUUUUGCUCCCGCACCGGUGUAACAAAUUCAGGAUGACAUGGAUUUGUGUACAUAUAAUAAUAUGAAUCGAGUGAGACAAUAAAGAGAGCAGUAAAAGGAUUUCUUAUUUUCACCUUGAGAUGAUCUCUCUUUCUGGAGGUCUUGAUGGAAAAUGCUGGUGUAGGUACCACACAGACACCAACUAAACAUCAGGCCUUCUCCAAUAAGAAACAAUGAUCCCUCCUUCGAGUGUGUGAACUUAAUAACAGUAGUUGAAGUAAUAAUUUCAGUUUAAUCGUUUGAAGAACCAGCUCCAGUGUUUGAAUUAGUAC
rnacentral:lncRNA from 1 species